UGUAAUUGUUAAACAUUUCUAGGGGGUUAAUUGAAUAGGUGAAAACUUAGAAGGGUAGUUUGGGAAAUGAAAAUUAGAUUUUUAGAAGGGAUGCUUCUAGAAUCUGGAGCAGCUGGCCCAAUAUUGGCCAUCACAAUUUUUGGAGCAAGUCAAAAGCUGCCAACUGUCCUACUUUUGUUAAAAAAGAUGUCAUAUGAUGGAAAAAUUUCCAUUCUGUUUUCAACAAUACAUGACAGUCUUAAUGGGCAUUACAUAGAACCUUUUCUUUCACAGAAAAGGCAGACGUCAGAACCCUAGAAAAUACACAAAGUUUCUAUAUUACACUCACUGAAAUUGGACUCGAAUUACUUCUUUGAUUUUUCUUCUAUUAAGAACCCAAAAGUUGUUAUGGGAAUUUCUUGUUUGCUAAGUUGAAGCUGAGUUGGUUAUUGAAGUUGUGGUGUUGGUUAUCACUAUUUCCCUUUGUUUGGUUUUCUAUUGUUAUUGCAUCUUGGCUGAUUUAAAGAGUUUUCCUUUAUUUUUUGUUGUAUCCAAGUACUUCAAAGACUAUGAAAUGCAAAAACAUGAAGCUAUAAUACAUUGGCCCAUUUCAGGCUGGUCUAUUUGCAGUUAGACUUUGUUUCAUUGCAUUUUUUGUUCUAUUUUGGGCUCGAUCCUAUGCCCUUCAGGUUCAACAGUUCCAAUUUGUUAAAUUUUUCUAUAUGUUGUAUAAUAAAGAUAGGUCUUUUUUUUAUAAUUACUAAAGGUUCAUCAUGGAAGAUCGGGUCCAAUACCUGGUUAUUUGGCUAUGGUGGUCUUUUGCCUUGGUCUCCUGUUGGGCUUCAUGUCGAGCCCAUUGUCUUGGUUUCUUCUUGAAACCGUUAGAGAAUAUUGAGGCUACUGCUGACCUAUAUUUUUGUUGUAAUUAAAUACUUGGUAUGUUAUCAAAUACAUACUUGUAAUGAGUACGCUUAGAUUGAACUUUAAUAUAAAUUAAAACCCAGACAUAUUUCAGCUGCUUUAGUCAA
rnacentral:lncRNA from 1 species